UACUCAGCCGACAAAAGGAAACCAAGCUUCUAAAGAAGGUGACUGAUGUGGCUGUGCGAAUGUCAGAGGAGCAACUGGUUGAGCUCAGAGCUGAUGUCAAGUAGGACUUCCUUCUCUCUGCCUUUUCUUUUCAUCCUCCCGGACUGAAGUAGCAAAUGUCCAUAAUUCACGGCCAUAGCACUUUGUUAGCGAACAUAAAUAUGGCGAGGAUCUGGGAUGAGGAACUGAUUCUCUUGUGAUGUGCAGACUCUGAAAAAGAGCAUUGGUUCAUUUGGAGAAGUGCCCCACCCAGAACACAGCUAUUCGACUAGACCCUGAUGUAACUCAGUUAUGUCUGCGUCCUGGGGUGGCCCUAGUGAUGCCUCUACUGUUUCCUCUUCCACCUGUGCUCUGCUCCCAGCCUGACAGGUGCGAACAAGAGAAAUUCUGCAUCAGAAGAUCCUGCAGCCACAGCAAACUCCAGCAGCCAGCCCUGCCAGCCUCAUCGGGAGGUAUUGCUGGGAAACAGAGGAGGACAAGGUUAUAGGUCAAAAGGCCAGAAGUCCAGUGACCCUACGAACCAAGGAUGACAUGACAGCAUGGGUCAUUACAGAAAUCGCUCGUGCUAUUCAUCUAGUUCCAGGUAUCAGAGUGCUCCAUCCCAGCUGGAGGCAACACUAGUGAAAAGGGCCAGGCUCACUCUGCAGGGACCCAUGGAACUGGAGCCACCAUGGAGCCUAGCCCGUCUAAACCCUCAUUGAGAAAGGGCCUCCCCCAGCGCAAGCCCAGAACCUCUCAGCCCGGAGCUGUGAACUCCUGAGAGAAGUUCCAGUAGCUUCUCUACCCACCCCCACAAUUCAACAUGAUAACUGCACUUUAGGAAAUUUGUAGUUAAGUUUAAUAACAAAAAGAAGUUUAUGCAUACCACUUUUUGUGCCAUUCUAAAUAUUUUUUAUUUCUUCUCUCAUUAUUUCUUCUUUAUUUUUGGAGGGGGAGUGUUUUUUCCCUUGACUUUUCCCAAUGAUAUGCUGAUUCUGAUUGGGAUCAGGGAUAACAGUGGCCAGGUUUCCCAAGGGUAAGCAACACUGCACCAGGUCUUCUGUCUGCCCAAAGAGGCCUUACCCAACAAACGCCUCCCCCUCCGCUAUUGAGGCUGUCUCAGGAGGAGUGGGUCAGAGAUAGACCUGUCACUUUUUCAGUAUAAGCAGAAGCCAUGGAUGCCUGCCAGGUCUCCUCUAAACAAGUUUGACCAGGAAAAGACUGUAUAUUACACUGGAUUAGCCAGAAAAGAGAAAUGUUAAUUGGUGCAAAAGAGAACACAAGGAAACUAGACAGUCUGCCUCUGUCCCAGAACGUGCCUGAGACUUGACACUUGAAGCAGGGUUUCAGCUCCCUGCUUGGCAUCGUAGCUUACCCUGUGGUUCUUCAAAAUGCCCAGAGCCUUGUUUCCUGUUACUGUAGGCCAACCUCAGGCUGCGAGCCCCUCUAAGGAAGUCUAGGAAAGUUUACAUGCAAUGAAAGUUUUUUAAAAGUUGUAAAGACAUACUUCUUUGUUUCAGUGUUUGGAGAUUUUUGUUGUUGUUCACCCCCAUUCCUGAAUCCUGUUCUUAUCUUGAACCAAAUUUAUUGCAAUAUAAUUAGUGUUAAUCUGUUACCCAUCAGAAAUUGCUGCAGUCUUUAUAGAUGAAUAAAUAAAAAUAACUGUGUAAA